CUUCGGUGAUGAGACGAUGACGAGUCGGAACAGAACUCAGUCUGGUUCUGGUGGUUACUGGCUCAGAUCCAUGUUCUGUGGUUCUGGUCCAGUUCCUCAGAGCAGGGAGUUCUUUUGGUUGAAGACAUCGAGGCAUUUGUCUGAGAAGG
rnacentral:snoRNA from 1 species